rnacentral:rRNA from 1 species
GAUGAACGCUGGCGGCGUGCCUAAUACAUGCAAGUCGAGCGAACAGACGAGGAGCUUGCUCCUCUGACGUUAGCGGCGGACGGGUGAGUAACACGUGGAUAACCUACCUAUAAGACUGGGAUAACUUCGGGAAACCGGAGCUAAUACCGGAUAAUAUAUUGAACCGCAUGGUUCACUAGUGAAAGACGGUUUUGCUGUCACUUAUAGAUGGAUCCGCGCCGCAUUAGCUAGUUGGUAAGGUAACGGCUUACCAAGGCAACGAUGCGUAGCCGACCUGAGAGGGUGGUCGGCCACACUGGAACUGAGACACGGUCCAGACUCCUACGGGAGGAAGCAGUAGGGAAUCUUCCGCAAUGGGCGAAAGCCUGACGGAGCAACGCCGGGGGAGGGAUGAAGGUCUUCGGAUCGUAAAACUCUGUUAUUAGGGAAGAACAAAUGUGUAAGUAACUAUGAACGUCUUGACGGUACCUAAUCAGAAAGCCACGGCUAACUACGUG